GGACUACUCGGGUUUCUAAUCCCAUUCGCUACCCACGCUUUCGUGUUUCAGCGUCAGGAGUGGGCCAGUGUGCUGCCUUCGCAUUUGGUGUUCCCCAUAAUAUCAACGGAUUUCACCCCUACACUAUGAGUUCCACACACCUCUCCCAUCCUCGAGUCAUGCCGUCUCCCGCGUGAGCCCCCGGUUAAGCCGAAGAAUUUGACACAGGACUAACAUGACCACCUACACACCCUUUACGCCCAAUGAUUCCGGAUAACGCUUAGGGCACUCGUAUUACCGCGGCGGCUGGCAC
rnacentral:rRNA from 1 species